rnacentral:rRNA from 1 species
UACGUAGGGGGCAAGCGUUGUCCGGAUUUAUUGGGCGUAAAGAGCGUGUAGGCGGCCACACAGGUCUGCUGUGAAAACUCGAGGCUCAACCUCGAGCUGUCGGUGGAAACCGUGUGGCUAGAGUCCGGAAGAGGAGAGUGGAAUUCCCGGUGUAGCGGUGAAAUGCGCAGAUAUCGGGAAGAACACCCGUGGCGAAGGCGGCUCUCUGGACAGGUACUGACGCUGAGACGCGAAAGCGUGGGU